GAUUCGAUUCUGCGGACCCAUAAUGAGGCCCCGAGAUCCGAUGGGACAGGGCUUCGAUUUCGUACCCGAUUUAUUGAUCCGGAGUGAAUACGGUGCCUCGGUCUCCGAGGUCGACACGUGGCGCAAUCCGGUCGGGGGAUGGAAACCGACCCUGUCGAUCUGGACCGCCAAGGGGGUCUAUAUAAACCCCUCGAGUUUGCCCUAAAGGUUUU
rnacentral:lncRNA from 1 species